rnacentral:rRNA from 1 species
CAGGGUGACAGGUGGUGCAUGGUUGUCGUCAGCUCGUGUCGUGAGAUGUUGGAUUAAGUCCCGCAACGAGCGCAACCCUCGACCUUAGUUGCCAGCAUUCAGUUGGGCACUCUAAGGUGACUGCCGGCUAAAAGUCGGAGGAAGGUGGGGAUGACGUCAAAUCAUCAUGCCCCUUAUGACCUGGGCUACACACGUGCUACAAUGGGCGGUACAAAGGGUCGCGAACCCGCGAGGGGGAGCCAAUCCCAAAAAGCCGCUCUCAGUUCGGAUUGCAGGCUGCAACUCGCCUGCAUGAAGCCGGAAUCGCUAGUAAUCGCGGAUCAGCAUGCCGCGGUGAAUACGUUCCCGGGCCUU